rnacentral:rRNA from 1 species
UACGUAGGGGGCAAGCGUUGUCCGGAUUUAUUGGGCGUAAAGAGCGUGUAGGCGGCCAUUCAGGUCAGCUGUGAAAACUCGAGGCUCAACCUCGAGACGUCGGUUGAAACCAUCUGGCUAGAGUCCGGAAGAGGAGAGUGGAAUUCCUGGUGUAGCGGUGAAAUGCGCAGAUAUCAGGAAGAACACCCGUGGCGAAGGCGGCUCUCUGGGACGGUACUGACGCUGAGACGCGAAAGCGUGGGGAGCGAACAGG